rnacentral:misc_RNA from 1 species
UAUUGCAAACGAUGCUAUGUCAUAAGUACCGGGAUUUGCUCUGAGUGUAAUGCUGAAGCUGGGAAUGGAUUUUGCAAAAGAUGCUACAGCAGUAGGACCGGAAAGUGCUGCCAAUGCGAUAGAAUAACUGAGCAGGGAAUGUAUUGCAAUGAAUGCUAUGACUCAAACUGGCCGCCACCCCUCCGAAUUGAAGUAUCCUCUGGAGGAGAGCAUUUCAAGUUUUAUGGCAGGGAGAGAGACUUGCAGAAAUACAUCAAUGUUGCAAAUCAUGGUCAGCGCCGAGAAUUAGAUUUUAAAGACAUUUCCGACUAACAUUUUUCCUCUAACAUAUCAAUUAUGUUUCGUUAUCAUUGAGAUUCUUUGAAGACAUGACCAGUAGCUAAUCUUAAGUGUUUGGUUUAGUUUCUCUAUAUCUUUGAUCUAAAGCAUUAAGUCAAUAAGAAAUUGAAAUAAAUUUGUGCUCUAAGGGAUGCUAGUUAAUCAGGGGGAUCACGCACAAGAGUGAAGAAGCGGUUUUUUCAUUUUGUUUUUCAGUUGUACUAAUGUAACAGUAAAGAAAUAAAGAUCUUUUGUGUGCCAGUUAUUUAA